AUUGAACGCUGGCGGCAUGCCUUACACAUGCAAGUCGAACGGUAACGCGGGGCAACCUGGCGACGAGUGGCGAACGGGUGAGUAAUGUAUCGGAACGUGCCCAGUUGUGGGGGAUAACUGCUCGAAAGAGCAGCUAAUACCGCAUACGACCUGAGGGUGAAAGCGGGGGAUCGCAAGACCUCGCGCAAUUGGAGCGGCCGAUAUCAGAUUAGGUAGUUGGUGGGGUAAAGGCCCACCAAGCCAACGAUCUGUAGCUGGUCUGUGAGGACGACCAGCCACACUGGGACUGAGACACGGCCCAGACUCCUACGGGAGGCAGCAGUGGGGAAUUUUGGACAAUGGACGCAAGUCUGAUCCAGCCAUGCCGCGUGCGGGAAGAAGGCCUUCGGGUUGUAAACCGCUUUUGUCAGGGAAGAAACGCUCUGGGUUAAUACCUCGGGGUAAUGACGGUACCUGAAGAAUAAGCACCGGCUAACUACAUGCCAGCAGCCGCCGUAACAC
rnacentral:rRNA from 1 species